CCUACGGGAGGCAGCAGUAGGGACUCUUUCACAAUGGGCGAAAGCCUGAUGGAGCAACGCCGCGUGCAGGAUGAAGGCCUUCGGGUUGUAAACUGCUUUUAUAAGCGAGAAAUAUGAUGGUAACUUAUGAAUAAGGAUCGGCUAACUACGUGCCAGCAGCCUCGGUCAUACGUAGGAUCCGAGCAUUAUCCGGAGUGACUGGGUGUAAAGAGUUGCGUAGGUGGCAUAAUAAGUAGCUAGUGAAAUCUGGUGGCUCAACCAUUCAGACUAUUAUCUAAACUGUUAAGCUCGAGACCGUUAGGGGUAACUGGAAUUUCUAGUGUAGGAGUGAAAUCCGUAGAUAUUAGAAGGAACACCAAUAGCGUAGGCAGGUUGCUGGGACGGUUCUGACACUAAGGCACGAAAGCGUAGGGAGCAAACGGGAUUAGAUACCCGAGUAGUC
rnacentral:rRNA from 1 species